rnacentral:rRNA from 1 species
GACGAACGCUGGCGGCGUGCUUAACACAUGCAAGUCGAACGGAAAGGCCCUGCUUUUGUGGGGUGCUCGAGUGGCGAACGGGUGAGUAACACGUGAGUAACCUGCCCUUGACUUUGGGAUAACUUCAGGAAACUGGGGCUAAUACCGGAUAGGAGCUCCUGCUGCAUGGUGGGGGUUGGAAAGUUUCGGCGGUUGGGGAUGGACUGGCGGCUUAUCAGCUUGUUGGUGGGGUAGUGGCUUACCAAGGCUUUGACGGGUAGCCGGCCUGAGAGGGUGACCGGCCACAUUGGGACUGAGAUACGGCCCAGACUCCUACGGGAGGCAGCAGUGGGGAAUAUUGCACAAUGGGCGGAAGCCUGAUGCAGCAACGCCGCGUGCGGGAUGACGGCCUUCGGGUUGUAAACCGCUUUCGCCUGUGACGAAGCGUGAGUGACGGUAAUGGAUAAAGAAGCACCGGCUAACUACGUG